rnacentral:rRNA from 1 species
UAGUGGCGAACGGGUGAGUAACACGUGGGCAAUCUGCCCUUCACUCUGGGACAAGCCCUGGAAACGGGGUCUAAUACCGGAUAAUACCUUCCUCUGCAUGGGGGUGGGUUGAAAGCUCCGGCGGUGAAGGAUGAGCCCGCGGCCUAUCAGCUUGUUGGUGGGGUGAUGGCCUACCAAGGCGACGACGGGUAGCCGGCCUGAGAGGGCGACCGGCCACACUGGGACUGAGACACGGCCCAGACUCCUACGGGAGGCAGCAGUGGGGAAUAUUGCACAAUGGGCGAAAGCCUGAUGCAGCGACGCCGCGUGAGGGAUGACGGCCUUCGGGUUGUAAACCUCUUUCAGCAGGGAAGAAGCGCAAGUGACGGUACCUGCAGAAGAAGCGCCGGCUAACUACGUGCCAGCAGCCGCGGUAAUACGUAGGGCGCGAGCGUUGUCCGGAAUUAUUGGGCGUAAAGAGCUCGUAGGCGGCUUGUCGCGUCGGAUGUGAAAGCCCGGGGCUUAACCCNGGGUCUGCAUUCGAUACGGGCAGGCUAGAGUUCGGUAGGGGAGAUCGGANUUCCU